rnacentral:rRNA from 1 species
UACGUAGGGUGCGAGCGUUGUCCGGAAUUACUGGGCGUAAAGAGCUCGUAGGUGGUUUGUCGCGUUGUUCGUGAAAACUCAUAGCUUAACUGUGGGCGUGCGGGCGAUACGGGCAGACUGGAGUACUGCAGGGGAGACUGGAAUUCCUGGUGUAGCGGUGGAAUGCGCAGAUAUCAGGAGGAACACCGGUGGCGAAGGCGGGUCUCUGGGCAGUAACUGACGCUGAGGAGCGAAAGCAUGGGUAGCAAACAGG